rnacentral:rRNA from 1 species
GCUCCAAUAGCGUAUACUAAAGUUGUUGCAGUUAAAAAGCUCGUAGUCGAAUGUAGGUUUAGUUAUUAUGCGGUCUCUCAGGUGUUACUUGGGUGGAUUGCGUAUAACGACCUUCCUUGAUAUAAUAACAGUUAUGUUUGAAAUUCAAAUGUAAUGGUUAUUAUAUCCAUUACUGUGAACAAAAUAGAGUGUUCAUGGCA